UGAUGGCCUUCCGGAGCCAGUCGUGCCAUAGCCGAGGCCAGUGAAUCCGGUGCGAAUCCGGGACUUACGCGCGACGGUGGGGGGACGGGCGGGGCGCUCGUGCCACUGGGAGGGGACCGGCCGCCGCGUGGGCGGACGCGGAUCCCUGCCGGGAAGGCGUCCCGUCCGGGUGAACCCGAGUCCGAAGACCUGCUGGCACCUUCGCACCCCC
rnacentral:ncRNA from 2 species